rnacentral:tRNA from 1 species
GUGGAAAUAGCUCAAUUGGUAGAGUAAUACCUUGCCAAGGUAUAGGUUGAGGGUUCGAAACCCUUUUUCCACU